rnacentral:rRNA from 1 species
UAUUGGACAAUGGGGGGAACCCUGAUCCAGCCAUGCCGCGUGUGUGAAGAAGGUCUUNNNAUUGUNACGCACUUUAAGUCGGGNGGCNGAGUUGUAGGCUAAUACCUUGCAAUUUUGACGUUACCAACAGAAUAAGCACCGGCUAACUUCGUGCCAGCAGCCGCGGUAAUACGAAGGGUGCAAGCGUUAAUCGGAAUUACUGGGCGUAAAGCGCGCGUAGGUGGUUCGUUAAGUUGGAAGUGAAAGCCCCGGGCUUAACCUGGGAAUUGCUUUCAAAACUGACGAGCUAGAGUACGGUAGAGGGUAGUGGAACUUCCUGUGUAGCGGUGAAAUGCGUAGAUAUAGGAAGGAACAUCAGUGGCGAAGGCGACUACCUGGACUGAUACUGACACUGAGGUGCGAAAGCGUGGGGAGCAAACAGG